UACGUAGGGGGCAAGCGUUGUCCGGAAUCAUUGGGCGUAAAGAGCGUGUAGGCGGCCAGAAAAGUCCGCUGUGAAAACUCGAGGCUCAACUUCGAGCUGUCGGUGGAAACUUUCUGGCUAGAGUCCGGAAGAGGAGAAUGGAAUUCCUGGUGUAGCGGUGAAAUGCGCAGAUAUCAGGAAGAACACCCGUGGCGAAGGCGGUUCUCUAGUACGGUACUGACGCUCAGGCACGAAAGCGUGGGGAGCAAACAGG
rnacentral:rRNA from 1 species